UUAGACUGGGUCCGUCUUCAUCAUUCAGUCAGAAGGUGCAAAAUGAAGCUAGGUCAUUGUGAGCCUCCAACAAUCUGAACGCCGCCGUAUCCAAUCGCGAUUACUCUCAAUGAGACCUGAGGCGGACGAACAGAAGCCUUUCCGCAAGGGAGUCGACAUAGCAUCUAGAAUGUCAUCGUCGCUCUAAUGAUAUCGACUCAACGUUUCAACCAUUAUCCUGAUCCGUAAAGAAAUGGAUUGGAAACAAAGAGAUCGCAACACACAACAAACCAGAACAAAUGGCAGAUUUACGUUCCAAUCAUGGGUUCUAUUGCGUUAACAACAUCGUUAUUCGUCAUACGUCAUGGCUCAGCUUCGGUCAGUGUUUGCAGCAUUUUCAUUCUUUGUUUGUGAAUUCGCCUCGGAGCUUGUCCGUGUCGACGCUUGGGAACGGGUCGAGAGCUAUGAGUACCACGCAGUGAUUUGAAGAAUAGUUUCGCUUGCGGUCUGGAUGAGCAAUCAAGAUUGUUGUGGUGGCUUCGCAGAAAUUCAAUCGAGCAUCGUGCUCUUGGCAUUCGCGAUCAAGGUGUCGCAUUCUGCCCUUCUCAACGAGUUCUGAAUGGCCACUCCAACCUCGUUAGCGCCCCAAACAUCACGUCGGCGUCGCCUUCAGGGAUUACGUCUUAUUCAGGCUCUUGGCAAUCGUUCAACGGUGUUUUUGGGGAUUUGAUAUUCAGGCUUCGAGCUCCACAGCUUAGAAGAAAAGUCUUAUUAAGUGACCAAUGAUCUUUUGGUCACUCAAAUUAGACAAUAGGAUUAUACAAGUUCAUAGGAUCUAAUUGAUCAAAAUUGUUUUUGAUCAACUUCAUCAUGUGUUAAGAUUGGUUAAAAACUAGGUUAGGACUACGUCAACGGUGCUUUUGGGGAUUACGUCUUUGCAAUCGUUCAACGGUGUUUUUGGGGAUUCGAUAUUCAUGGCGUACUACUCGACUCAGUGAUUCACGCAACGACUAUUGAAAGCACGAAAUUGGAUGAACACAUAUUGAGGCAAGAAUGAAGACUCACCCGUUUCGGCACGGCGACGAAAACAGGAAUAUGCUUUUAGGAAGGAGUUAUGCAGGAUUUUGGUUAUGGUUGCUGCUGUUUGUGCAUUCGGCAGGCCAUGAAUGAACUGUCUAUACCGACCUGCUUAUCACUGUCUUUCCAGAUGCAACUUGGAGCACAAUAACGUCGAAUGCGUAUAUGUCACUCUUCUCGGUAAAGCGCCCAGUGGUAAUGUAUUUAGGAGCUAGGUAUCCCAUGGCGGUACUCACUUUUAGAGCUGAGAAAACAACACCUCCUGCAAGAAGUUUAGGAAAUCCAUUAAUGGAUUAAACUCUUUGUCAAGGAGAACAUUCUCCACUAGAACAUUCCAACAACCAUUCGCAUUAAAAGUUAUGCAGGCCCUUCUGUCGUGUGAGUGUUAACAAGGCUUCGUGGGAUUGAAGUGAAACUGGGCUGAUGUUUAUGGAAGUGAUAUUUGAUAUGAAAAGUCUGAAUUGGUGUGGAUUCGUUAGAUUAACAUAAGAUUUAAAAUGUAUUUGGAAUGUGGAAUUGUAUUGUAGCAUGUAUGAAUAUGUGCUAAUUUGUUUGUACUUGAAAGAGUAUUCAAUAAAAAGUUAAAUUCAAAUUGAA